GUCAAAUUCCCAAUUAUUAAUAGGAAUUAUAGAAUUAUAAGUAAAUUCCAUGCUUUUCCUUUCUUAACACAGGAGCUAUGCCUUCAAAUAGAUGGAGACCUAGCUUCUUUUGAAAACAGUGAUCAGUUAGAAUAUGCUUAUAAACUAAUUCCAAUCGGAUAUUCCUGGGUUGACAGGGAUUAUUAGUCCAGAUUUAUCCAGGAGAACUGGGUGCCAGGUGAGAAGCCAGGUCAGACAAAUGGUAACUGCUUGACAUUGGUGAAAUACACUGAGGGAAAAGGCUUUGUUGACACUUCUAACUCAGAAAACACUUCCAAUAUUCUCUGCGAGGUCGAUGCUACCUACUUAAGAGUCCAUUCAGAGAACGCAAAGGGAAAAUCUAAUAUUUUCUUUUUUUUCUUUCUUUUUUGUAUUAUUUCUACACUAUGAAGUGGAAAUAACACACUGAAAUUGUGAACAUUAUUAUAAUUCCCUUUUUGAGUAAGAGCAGUUUGGGUUUUUAAUAUACCAAUAUUGUGAUACCAGUAAAUUGUUAUUUGGAAUAUCUAAUUAAUACGUUG
rnacentral:lncRNA from 1 species